rnacentral:tRNA from 1 species
CGGCGAGUAGCCCAGCUUGGUAGUGCAACUGGUUUGGGACCAGUGGGUCGGAGGUUAGUAUCCUCUUACGCCGGCCA